rnacentral:rRNA from 1 species
UACGUAGGUGGCAAGCGUUGUCCGGAUUUAUUGGGUUUAAAGGGUGCGUAGGCGGUCUAUUAAGUCAGUUGCGAAAUACGGCAGCUCAACUGUCGAGGUGCAAUUGAUACUGAUGGACUUGAGUACUGAUGAGGUAAGCGGAAUGGACGGUGUAGCGGUGAAAUGCUUAGAUAUCGUCCAGAACACCGAUAGCGAAGGCAGCUUACUAAGGAGUAACUGACGCUGAGGCACGAAAGUGUGGGGAUCAAACAGG